CCUACGGGUGGCAGCAGUGGGGGAUAUUGCACAAUGGGGGGAACCCUGAUGCAGCGACGCCGCGUGGGUGAAGAAGCGCCUCGGCGCGUAAAGCCCUGUCAGCAGGGAAGAAAAUGACGGUACCUGAAGAAGAAGCCCCGGCUAACUACGUGCCAGCAGCCGCGGUAAUACGUAGGGGGCAAGCGUUAUCCGGAUUUACUGGGUGUAAAGGGGGCGCAGACGGCGAUGCAAGCCAGGAGUGAAAGCCCGGGGCCCAACCCCGGGACUGCUCUUGGAACUGCGUGGCUGGGGUGCAGGAGGGGCAGGCGGAAUUCCUGGGGUAGCCGGUAAAAGCGGAGAAAUCAGGAAGGACACCGGUGGCGAAGGCGGCCUGUUGGACUGCAACUGACGUUGAGGCCCGAAAGCGUGGGGAGCAAACAGGAUUAGAUACCCCAGUAGUC
rnacentral:rRNA from 1 species